rnacentral:rRNA from 1 species
UACGUAGGGGGCAAGCGUUGUCCGGAUUUAUUGGGCGUAAAGAGCGUGUAGGCGGCCAUACAGGUCCGUUGUGAAAACUGGAGGCUCAACCUCCAGACGUCGAUGGAAACCGUAUGGCUAGAGUCCGGAAGAGGAGAGUGGAAUUCCUGGUGUAGCGGUGAAAUGCGCAGAUAUCAGGAAGAACACCCGUGGCGAAGGCGGCUCUCUGGGACGGUACUGACGCUGAGACGCGAAAGCAUGGGGAGCGAACAGG